AUACCGGCAGCCCGAGUGAUGGCCGCUAUUAUUGGGCCUAAAGCGUCCGUAGCCGGCCGGAUAAGUCCGUCGGGAAAUCUGCUCGCUCAACGAGCAGGCGUCCGGCGGAAACUGUUCGGCUUGGGGCCGGAAGACCUGAGGGGUACGUCUGGGGUAGGAGUGAAAUCCCGUAAUCCUGGACGGACCGCCGGUUGCGAAAGCGCCUCAGGAAGACGGACCCGACGGUGAGGGACGAAAGCUAGGGUCACGAACCGGAUUAGAUACCCGGGUAGUCCUAGCUGUAAACGAUGCUCGCUAGGUGUGGCGCUGGCUACGAGCCAGCGCUGUGCCGUAGGGAAGCCGAGAAGCGAGCCGCCUGGGAAGUACGUCCGCAAGGAUGAA
rnacentral:rRNA from 2 species